AUCUUGAGGGUUACUGUCCACAUUCAAUGCAAGCCAUCGCCAAUUUACGUCUCACCUCCAGAAUUUCGCCUUGAUUUCUGUAGGUUUCAAGGUCCCUGAGGAUCAUGUUUAGAGGAUGCUUGAUGGUAAGGGUUUGAGAGAGAUCGUGGUAGUGAGGAGAAAGGAGGAAGAUGUGAGUUCGAGGAGGCGGUGGCGGUGGCGGUGGUGGAAGUGAUGAGGAGGAAGCCGGGUGACGGUGCAGACCUGCUGAUGAAGCUGAAUUCGGUGGAAUUGCUGGCAAGGAUGGUGGAAGACCAUGGACGUAAGUAACACGGUUCGAAACGAGGGUUAAACACUCGGUCUCAAAGGUGAUGGAAAAUGUAGUGUAGUUCAAACUAGCGACGCACAAGCGUCGGUUUUUGAUGUCGUGUAAUUGAUGCACCCAGGCGAGGUUCGGAGAAGUCUUCUCAUUAACGCAAAGUCUGGGAGUCUUUUCAUGAACCUGUCUAAGAAUUAGGUUUCAAAAUCGGAUGUGCAACGGAUCAUAAUGGCCCCAUAUAACUAUGUGGGCAUCGUUCCUUGACCUGCGGUGAAGAAAGUUCCAAUGAAUCAUGGAGAAACCUCGUACACAUCACAACUCAGCCAUCAGAAGUUGUAAAAUUAUGUGAGCAUAUCAUGAAUUGUCGUAAAAUUUGCAAUGAAUAUUUCGCACGUGAUUAUAGGUUACGUAUUUUCUCUUCCUUCGUAGGGGUUUUACUGGUAUUUUUGAAGACCAGAUGUCCGGGGCGUAACCAUAGACUCUCAUCAGCUGUCUGGUCAAUACAUUAUUACACUUCAGAUCUGUACAUAGGUGUGGGAAAUGUCGGCUGCCACGCGUGCCGUAGGAUCCUCAUACCUUACACAGAGAGGUGAAAGCGCACCGAAAAGUACUUGGUUAGCCGCCUCUACACAUUGCAUUUAUCAUCAAAGACGCGUUAGCCGACAACAAGUUCCUAGGACAAGCAUCUAAGAAAUUAGAAGUAUUGUACACAUUUUGUGUUUUUCAUAUAAACGCAUCAAUAAGGGUACGAAUUUUCAGCUGACGUCUGAUUCAACUGUGAA